rnacentral:tRNA from 1 species
CCUUUCUAAGGAUGAUCAAGAAUUGGGAUUCUUCCCUUUUUGAUCGCAUUAGACAAUAAAGGUUUUAAACAAACUUGCUUAAACUAAAACAAAAUUGUUUAAACCUUGUGCAUAUGACGCUAACUCUCCAUGAAAUCCCCCCUCUUAUUGAAGAGAAGCUCUUUUAACAAAAAGAGCCCCCAUCUCUCGAGGUCCCCUACCUCCCCCAUAAGAGAAGUUUCAUGAGGGCUUAGUGCCAUGUGUGAACAAUUAAAUGCAGACUAGCCGUCUUCGUUUCUCUUUCUUCAGAUGAUGAUCCCAAGCCUUCUGGCGCUCUCGUAAGAGAAAGCUGCUUUUUAAAAGCUUUCAGGAAAAAGAGCUUUAAAAAAGCUUUUCCAUAAGAUAAUGCCGGGGAAGGUUUUCCGGUUUAUCCCGGAGGGCUUGUAGCUCAGUUGGUUAGAGCGCGCGCUUGAUAAGCGUGAGGUCGGAGGUUCAAGUCCUCCCAGGCCCACCACUUUAAUCUAUUCUAAUUUCAUUCGUCCAUUGAAGACGUUAUCCAUUCCUUGAAGAAGCGCUUCUCAAAAGCCUUUUUUAUGAAAAUGUAACGCUUUUCUGUUUUUCUUAAAACUUAAAGAAGCAAAACUUAGAAAAGUUCAAAAGAAAAAAAGGUCUCUGUUAAACAGAUCCUAGUUUGAAAAGUUUUGUAUGCGUUAUGUUGUUUAGGGGCCGUAGCUCAGCUGGGAGAGCACCUGCUUUGCAAGCAGGGGGUCGUCGGUUCGAUCCCGUCCGGCUCCACCAUUUCAGGUCAUCAUCAUUGUUGUAAGAACAGUGUUUUGUGAGAGGUUUUAAAACCCUUUCGCUUGUUCUAUUGAAAUUGUGAAGAGAAGAUAUAUUCAGACAUGAUUUUUAUGCUCUGUCUUUUAAAAGAGAAUGUUGUAAAAAUUUUUUAAAAGAGGAGAUUGUAAAAAAAUGAUGUGUCGCAAGGGAAUGCUCAAAGCCCUUGCUUAUGAUUGGAAGCUUAACCGCGCCACUGAGUAUAUCUCGAGAAGCUGGUCUUUUCUGCUAAUAUUUCUGUUUGUUUUGCGCUUUGUUUUGCACAAGACAUAAGAGAAGCAGACAAACAAUACAAGAUUGCAAAACGUCCCAUACUCUAAAACGUAAAUGUUUCUUUCUCGUUCCAUGUUCAUUGUUCAUGAGAGAGAGUAAACAAUCGUUACGAUAAAAAUCGUUCCAAAGAGUGAAGAGUGGA